AGAGGCGUUCGUGCCGACGCGGAGUUAGAUGUGCGACCCGGACCGGACGCCAGACGCGUGCUCCUGAGACCAACCGCACAUCGACGUAUAGUCCUCCGGGCAGACGCGGAUUCCGUUGCGAAACUGCAGGUCUUCUGAAAGCCACUUCCAAAGAAAGAAUGAAGAGACAAAGGAAACAAGCUGUACCACGCAGUGUGCUUCCUGAGGAUACUUCGGCGCAGUUGGAAAGACUCGAGCGUAUGAUCGACUUCAUCCUACGAAUUCUGCUAGACGUCCUGGUGGUCCUCAUCGAUCUGUGCCGCAGUCUUCGAACAAGGGCAUAAACGCUGCCCUGUCCCGUGGACGUCGGAAUUUCUUUCCCUUUAUUUCAUGUACAUUAAGCAAUAACUCUUGAUCACAUGAAUAAACCCUG